GAAUUUAAAUUGAUGAAAUUCCAUGAAUAUACAUUUUCAGUGGUUUUGUUAGAAGUUUUAAUGACUUAAUAGCUUUGCUUCGUAGUCGUAGGAAAUUGUUUGUUUAUGAUAAACUACCUAGGAUUAUUUUAUACAUAUACAGAAUUGUUUUAAAUAUUGCUUCGUAGUCGAUAGAUAUAGUGUUUUUGUUUCAAAGAGUAGGUGAGUCAAAUAGGAGGACUGAUUGUAGAGACGGGUUUGAGAAAAGCUGAUGAGCAAGGAAUGAAAUUAUAACAUCCUUUUUGUCUUAGUGGUUAGGAAUGGAGCAUUGAACUCUAAUUUAAAAAGAAAUAAUAAUAUAAAUGUUUUGAGUAUUAAAAGUUUUUGAAGGAUUGGUGAAGAAACUUAUAAGCCUAAUAGGUGUUUUUAAAGGAACCAAGAAAAGAGGUCUGAAGGUUUUUAAUUAAAGGGAGUACUUGAAUAAAAAUUCUUUCGGGUAAUUGGUGCAAGUGCAAAGUUAGAUUCUGUUGGUUAUAAGCUAGAUAAGGGGCAAUCUUAUGGAAUUGCUGAGUUUGUUAGGUAUUAAAGGAGACCCAAAGAUAAGUUGAAUAAGAGAAUGAUUAUCUUCAAGUAGAUAGGAAGAUAAGUUUGAAUAAGGGAAUUUCAAAUUAAAGUACGAUAUUGGACUUCAAGUUUUUGAUAGAUUUCUUGUCAUUCUUUGGAAGAAAGAUUAGCAAACUCAUUGAAGUGCUAAUGAAAUGGACAAACUAAGCUACUUUCUUUGAGUAGCUGACAAUUGGCUAUGGAGAUUGAUUUGAGACCUGACGAUAACAUUAGAGUGUGCCAUUAAGAAU